AUACGGAGGAUCCGAGCGUUAUCCGGAUUUAUUGGGUUUAAAGGGAGCGUAGGCGGGAAGUCAAGUCAGCUGUGAAAUGUAGGUGCUCAACGCCUGCACUGCAGUUGAAACUGGUUUUCUUGAGUGCGUAAGGGGCAGGCGGAAUUCGUCGUGUAGCGGUGAAAUGCAUAGAUAUGACGAAGAACUCCGAUCGCGAAGGCAGCUUGCCGGGCCGCAACUGACGCUGAAGCUCGAAGGUGCGGGUAUCGAACAGGAUUAGAUACCCUGGUAGUCCGCACAGUAAACGAUGGAUACUCGCUGUCGGCGAUAUACGGUCGGUGGCCAAGCGAAAGCGUUAAGUAUCCCACCUGGGGAGUACGCCGGCAACGGUGAAACUCAAAUGAAUUGGCGGGG
rnacentral:rRNA from 1 species